rnacentral:rRNA from 1 species
AUGCCUGUACCAUAACCGACACAGGUGGGUAAGUAGAGUAUACUAAGGGGCGCGAGAUAACUCUCUCUAAGGAACUCGGCAAAAUAACUCCGUAACUUCGGGAGAAGGAGUGCCUUAUUCUUAAGGUUGCAAUAACAAGAUCCAAGCAACUGUUUAUCAAAAACACAGGUCUCCGCUAAGUCGUAAGACGAUGUAUGGGGGCUGACGCCUGCCCAGUGCCAGAAGGUUAAAGAAGUCGGUUAGCAAUAGCAAAGCUGGUAACUGAAGCCCUGGUGAACGGCGGCCGUAACAAUAACGGUCCUAAGGUAGCGAAAUUCCUUGUCGGGUAAGUUCCGACCCGCACGAAAGGCGUAAUGAUUUGGAUGCUGUCUCGGAGAGGGGCUCGGUGAAAUAGACUUGUCUGUGAAGAUGCGGACUACCUGCACCAGGACAGAAAGACCCUAUGAAGCUUUACUGUAACUUGAAAUUGAAAUUGGACUUUAUUCGCGCAGUAUAGGUGGGAGGCGUUGAUUAUAAUCUUGUGGGAUUAUUGGAGCCAUCAGUGAGAUACCACUCUUGUAAUGUUAGAUUUCUAACUUUGAAUCAUUAUCUGGUCUAAGGACAGUUUCAGGCGGGCAGUUUGACUGGGGCGGUCGCCUCCUAAACGGUAACGGAGGCGUACAAAGGUUUCCUCUGAACGGUUAGAAAUCGUAUCUAGAGUGUAAAGGCAUAAGGAAGCUUGACUGUGAGACCUACAAGUCGAGCAGGGACGAAAGUCGGUCUUAGUGAUCUGACGGUACUGAGUGGAAGGGCCGUCACUCAACGGAUAAAAGUUACUCUAGGAUAACAGGCUGAUCUCCCCCAAGAGUUCACAUCGACGGGGAGGUUUGGCACCUCGAUGUCGGCUCAUCGCAUCCUGGGGCGGUAGUACGUCCCAAGGGUUGGGCUGUUCGCCCAUGAAAGCGGUACGCGAGCUGGGUUCAGAACGUCGUGAGACAGUUCGGUCCAUAUCCGGUGUAGGCGCUAGAAUAUUGAGAGGAGCCUUCUUUAGUACGAGAGGACCGAGGAGGACAUACCUCUGGUGUACCAGUUAUCGUGCCAACGGUAAACGCUGGGUAGCUAUGUAUGGAGUGGAUGACCGCUGAAAGCAUCUAAGUGGGAAGCCCACCUCAAGAUAAGUAUUCUCAUCACGUAAGUGAGUAAGGUCACGGUAAGACUAACCGUUUGAUAGGCAUUAAGUGUAAGUACAGUAAUGUAUGUGCUGAGAUGUCCUAAUAGACCGAAGAC